rnacentral:rRNA from 1 species
GGCGGGUGCUAUAAUGCAGUCGAGCGGACAGAUGGGAGCUUGCUCCCUGAUGUUAGCGGCGGACGGGUGAGUAACACGUGGGUAACCUGCCUGUAAGACUGGGAUAACUCCGGGAAACCGGGGCUAAUACCGGAUGGUUGUUUGAACCGCAUGGUUCAAACAUAAAAGGUGGCUUCGGCUACCACUUACAGAUGGACCCGCGGCGCAUUAGCUAGUUGGUGAGGUAACGGCUCACCAAGGCAACGAUGCGUAGCCGACCUGAGAGGGUGAUCGGCCACACUGGGACUGAGACACGGCCCAGACUCCUACGGGAGGCAGCAGUAGGGAAUCUUCCGCAAUGGACGAAAGUCUGACGGAGCAACGCCGCGUGAGUGAUGAAGGUUUUCGGAUCGUAAAGCUCUGUUGUUAGGGAAGAACAAGUACCGUUCGAAUAGGGCGGUACCUUGACGGUACCUAACCAGAAAGCCACGGCUAACUACGUGCCAGCAGCCGCGGUAAUACGUAGGUGGCAAGCGUUGUCCGGAAUUAUUGGGCGUAAAGGGCUCGCAGGCGGUUUCUUAAGUCUGAUGUGAAAGCCCCCGGCUCAACCGGGGAGGGUCAUUGGAAACUGGGGAACUUGAGUGCAGAAGAGGAGAGUGGAAUUCCACGUGUAGCGGUGAAAUGCGUAGAGAUGUGGAGGAACACCAGUGGCGAAGGCGACUCUCUGGUCUGUAACUGACGCUGAGGAGCGAAAGCGUGGGGAGCGAACACGAUUAGAUACCCUGGUAGUCCACGCCGUAUACGAUGAGUGCUAAGUGUUAGGGGGUUUCCCGCCCCUUAGUGCUGCAGCUAACGCAUUAAGC